rnacentral:rRNA from 1 species
GGGUGGACGGGUAGAGUAUACCAAGGUGAAUGAGAGAACUGUGCUGAAGGAACUCUGCAAAUUGCAUCCGUAAGUAGCGAGAAGGAUGACCCUUUUUUGGGCAACCAAAGGAGGGUGGCACACAAAUGGGGGUGGCGACUGUUUAUCUAAAACACAGCACUCUGCAAACCGGAAUAACGGGAAGUAUAGGGUGUGACGCCUGCCCAGUGCUGGAAGAUUAAAUGGAAAGGUGAUAAGCUUUGAAAUGAAGUCCCAGUAAACGGCGGCCUUAACCUUGAAGGUCCUAAGGUAGCGAAAUUCCUUGUCGGGUAAGUUCCGACGCGCAUGAAUGGCGUAACGAUCUCCCCACUGUCUCCAGCACAGACUCAGCGAAUUUGAAUUCGUCGCGCUAAUGCGAUGUACCCGCGGCUGGACGGAAAGACCCUAUGAACCUUUACUAUAGCUUUACAUUGAAUUUAAUAAUUAAAUACGUAGGAUAGAUGGGAGACUUUGAUGUGUUAAUUUCGGUUAACAUGGAGUCGACGGUGAAAUACCAUUUUUUUAAUUUUUAAAUUCUAACUAUAUUUUAUAAAAGUAAAAGUAAGACAGUGUAUGGUGGGUAGUUUGACUGGGGCGGUCGCCUCCUAAAGAGUAACGGAGGCGUACGAAGGUAGGCUCGGUUGGGUUGGAAAUCCAACUUUUGAGUGUAAUGGCAUAAGCCUGCUUGACUGUAAGACUGACAAGUCGAACAGGGACGAAAGUCGGUCAUAGUGACCCGGUGGUUUCUGUGAGGAAAGGCCAUCGAUCAACGGAUAAAAGGUACUCUAGGGAUAACAGGCUGAUAGCGUCCGAGCGUCCAUAGCGACGACGCUGUUUGGCACCUCGAUGUCGACUCAUCACAUCCCGGGGCUGGAGAAGGUCCCAAGGGUUCGGCUGUUCGCCGAUUAAAGUGGUACGUGAGUUGGGUUCAGAACGUCGUGAGACAGUUCGGUCCCUAUCUACCGUGGGCGUUAGGAAAUUUGAGCAGAUCUGACUUUAGUACGAGAGGACCAAGUUGGACGUGCCUAUAGUGUUCCAGUUGUUUCGCCAGAAGCAUUGCUGGGUAGCCACGCACGGAAAUGAUAAACGCUGAAAGCAUCUAAGUGUGAAACGUACUGCAAGAUUAGAUUUCCCAAUUAGAGCCGUCGAAGACUACGACGUUGAUAGGAUAAGUGUGUAAGUGCAGUAAUGCAUUAAGCUGAUUAUUACUAAUUGCUCGAUUGAUCC